AUUAGAAAUGUAUCAUAAGUGUGGACUGCUGACAAUAUUAGCUGUAGCUUAGAAGUUUUGUAAGUCAUGACAUUUCAUUUCAUGCAACACUAAGCGCAACACAUGCCUCAGCGCUACGCUUAAUACUGCAUCUCAAUAUACAAACGACAAUACAUUGAGCAUCAAGAGAGGUUUCCUAGUCGGCAAUGUCCAACCUCCGCAUAUUUUUUCGCAGAUUUGUGUUGAUACCAUGAGUGUCAAUUCGAUCUCAGCUGACAAUUCUAUCUCAGGAUCUACUCGACAUAUAAAAAUCAGCUGCUAUAUUUUUCAUUCGAUCUACGCAAGCUACGCAUUGGCCGAUACUGCCAUCAUGCAUGUUUAUCAUUUUAGAAGCCGAGCAAAAUACUUUGUUUGAGAAACUAGUUAAAUAAAACAGCAUUAUGAAUGUGAGACGAUCUAAUCAUAGCAAGGCUAUAAACAGAUUCUCCAUAACCUAUGAGGAAUAUGCGCGUAUGCAGCAACAAUCAAUUCAUUAAGCAAAAAAAAGAGACGGGUGUUGACACAAAACAACGUGUAUCUAAUUUUGGCAAUAAUCGGAAAUUUUUCACACUUAGCUGACUACAGGGGCUCUUAGUAAGCAACUGCAUAAAUCCAGCAGAACGAUAGAUAACUAUAAAAAUUUUGCAUGAUCUAACUCAUUACUAAAGAUAUACAACAUGCAAUGAAGUAAAAUAAAU